GAUGAACGCUGGCGGCGUGCCUAAUACAUGCAAGUCGAGCGAACGGACGAGAAGCUUGCUUCUCUGAUGUUAGCGGCGGACGGGUGAGUAACACGUGGAUAACCUACCUAUAAGACUGGGAUAACUUCGGGAAACCGGAGCUAAUACCGGAUGAUAUUUUGAACCGCAUGGUUCAAAAGUGAAAGACGGUCUUGCUGUCACUUAUAGAUGGAUCCGCGCUGCAUUAGCUAGUUGGUAAGGUAACGGCUUACCAAGGCAACGAUGCAUAGCCGACCUGAGAGGGUGAUCGGCCACACUGGAACUGAGACACGGUCCAGACUCCUACGGGAGGCAGCAGUAGGGAAUCUUCCGCAAUGGGCGAAAGCCUGACGGAGCAACGCCGCGUGAGUGAUGAAGGUCUUCGGAUCGUAAAUCUCUGUUAUUAGGGAAGAACAUAUGUGUAAGUAACUGUGCACAUCUUGACGGUACCUAAUCAGAAAGCCACGGCUAACUACGUG
rnacentral:rRNA from 1 species